rnacentral:ncRNA from 1 species
CACAAGCGGCGGAGCAUGUGGCUUAAUUCGACGCAACGCGAAGAACCUUACCAAGGCUUGACAUACACCGGAAAACCCUGGAGACAGGGUCCCCUUGUGGUCGGUGUACAGGUGGUGCAUGGCUGUCGUCAGCUCGUGUCGUGAGAUGUUGGGUUAACGUCCCGACAACGAGCGCAACCCUUGUCCCGUGUUGCCAGCACGGCCCUUG